UUCCGGUUGAUCCUGCCAGAGGCGACCGCUAUUGGAGUUCGAUUAAGCCAUGCGAGUAGAAAGAAAUUAGAUUCUUUGCAUACUGCUCAGUAACACGUGGAUAACCUGCCCUACACUGGGGGAUAAUCUCGGGAAACUGAGCAUAAUACCCCAUAGACCACUACGCCUGGAACGGUGAGUGGUUGAAAGCUUCGGCGGUGUAGGAUGGGUCUGCGGCGUAUCAGGUUGUAGGGGGUGUAAUGGACCUCCUAGCCAUCGACGCGUACGGGUUGUGGGAGCAAUAGCCCGGAGACGGAUUCUGAGACACGAAUCCGGACCCUACGGGGUGCAGCAGGCGCGAAAACUUCACACUGCAGGAAACUGUGAUGAGGGAACUCCAAGUGACUGCACAAUGUGUAGCCUUUUCUUGAAUUUUAAUAGUUCUUGGAAUAAGGGCUGGGAAAGACCGGUGCCAGCCGCCGCGGUAAUACCGGCAGCUCGAGUGGUCGUCGCUUUUAUUGGGCCUAAAACGUCCGUAGCCUGUUUGGUAAAUCUGUGGGUAAAUCAAUCCGCUUAACGGAUUGAAUUCUGCAGAGACUGCCAGACUAGGGACCGGGAGAGGUAUGAGGUACUCUGGGGGUAGGGGUAAAAUCCUGUCAUCCUCAGAGGACCACCUGUUGCGAAGGCGUCAUACUGGAACGGAUCCGACGGUCAGGGACGAAGCCUAGGGGCACGAACCGGAUUAGAUACCCGGGUAGUCCUAGGUGUAAACGCUGUGGAUUUGGUGUGUGGGGUCCGCAAUGGGCCCCAUGUGCCGGAGUGAAGAUGUUAAAUCCACUGCCUGGGAAGUACGUACGCAAGUAUGAAACUUAAAGGAAUUGGCGGGGGAGCACCACAAGGGGUGAAGCCUGCGGUUCAAUUGGAGUCAACGCCAGAAAUCUUACCCGGAGAGACAGCAGAAUGAAGGUCAAGCUGAAGACUUUACCAGACAAGCUGAGAGGUGGUGCAUGGCCGUCGCCAGCUCGUGCCGUGAGAUGUCCUGUUAAGUCAGGUAACGAGCGAGAUCCCUGCCUCUAGUUGCCACCAUUACUCUCAGGAGUAGUGGGGCGAAUUAGCGGGACCGCCGCAGUUAAUGCGGAGGAAGGAAGGGGCCACGGCAGGUCAGUAUGCCCCGAAACUCUGGGGCCACACGCGGGCUGCAAUGGUAACGACAAUUGGUUUCGAAUCCGAAAGGAUGAGGUAAUCCUCAAACGUUACCACAGUUAUGACUGAGGGCUGCAACUCGCCCUCACGAAUAUGGAAUCCCUAGUAACUGCGUGUCAUUAUCGCGCGGUGAAUACGUCCCUGCUCCUUGCACACACCGCCC
rnacentral:rRNA from 1 species